GUUUUCUUCUAUGACUCAUUGAAAUCAGGCUAACCACAAGCUGGUGCACAGCCAACAAUCAGAAUCUCCAGUUGGCUUUAUGCCACUCUCCAGACCUCUGGGAUUAUCUUCAUGUACUUCAGGAGAAGGAGAAGUGGAGUCACCAAACAGGAACAGGAAGCAAUCGUAGAAGUGAGAGGAAACCGGAGCACCCAGAGGAAAUCCACACGAUCACAGGAAGAAGGUACAAACUCCACAGACUGUACCGGAGGUCAGGAUCGAACCCAGGUCACUGGAGCUGUGAGGUAGCAACUCUACCAGCUGUGAUGAUGUACCACCUCAUUCAAUUAAAUACUCUGAGGCAGUGGAAAACUAUACUAUCAGACGGGCUGAAUGCUUUGUUUUUAUUUCACGUUCCCAGCAUCUGCAGUUUUUUGGAUUUGCAUCAGAGUUGGCAAAGCCUCACAUUAACCAGCACCCAAUGGCAAGUUGGUUACCUUGGUAAGAUACUGAACACAGCAGCUACUCGAAAUGUGAAUUAAAAGAGGAUACUGAAAAUACUCAGCAGAUCAGGCAAUAUCUGUGGAGAAAGAAAAACUGAGUUAAGGUUAUAUGUGGAUGACCUUAACAUCAGAACUGGCCAUUUCUGACAAAAACUAAAAAGGCUCCAGUUUUCAAGUGCUGUUACGGAGUGGUUGAAUAGAGAAAGAGAUGUUGCUUCAGAGCCUGUUUCUGUUGCUGGAUGAAGUCCUGCAGCCACAAGCUGCCAGAUCAGGUGGGGAAGACAGAUCUGGAGCUGAAACCUAGAAUCACACACCCAGGACCUGCUGUGAACAG